AACGAACGCUGGCGGCAUGCCUAACACAUGCAAGUCGAACGAGACCUUCGGGUCUAGUGGCGCACGGGUGCGUAACGGGUGGGAACCUGCCUAUAAGUUCGGAAGAACUCAGAGAAAUUUGAGCUAAUACCGGAUGAUGUCUUCGGACCAAAGGUUUAUUGCCUUUGGAUGGGCUGGCGUUGGAUUAGCUUGAUGGUGGGGUAAAGGCGUCUCACGGGUUCGACCCGUAGCUGGUAAGAGAGGCUGGGCCGCGACACUGGGACUAGGACACGGUCGAGAAUACUACGGGAUGGGGGAGAGGCUGAUACUGGACAAUGGGGGGAAGCAUGAUGCAGCAAUGACGGGUGAGUGAUGAAGGCUGUGGGGAUGUAAAGCUAGUUUACACGAGACGAUAAUGACAGUACCGGGAGAAUAAGCUCCGGCUAACUCCGUG
rnacentral:rRNA from 1 species